rnacentral:rRNA from 1 species
GACGAACGCUGGCGGCGUGCCUAAUACAUGCAAGUAGAACGCUGAAGGAGGAGCUUGCUUCUCUGGAUGAGUUGCGAACGGGUGAGUAACGCGUAGGUAACCUGCCUGGUAGCGGGGGAUAACUAUUGGAAACGAUAGCUAAUACCGCAUAAGAGUAGAUGUUGCAUGACAUUUGCUUAAAAGGUGCAAUUGCAUCACUACCAGAUGGACCUGCGUUGUAUUAGCUAGUUGGUGGGGUAACGGCUCACCAAGGCGACGAUACAUAGCCGACCUGAGAGGGUGAUCGGCCACACUGGGACUGAGACACGGCCCAGACUCCUACGGGAGGAAGCAGUAGGGAAUCUUCGGCAAUGGACGGAAGUCUGACCGAGCAACGCCGCGUGAGUGAAGAAGGUUUUCGGAUCGUAAAGCUCUGUUGUAAGAGAAGAACGAGUGUGAGAGUGGAAAGUUCACACUGUGACGGUAUCUUACCAGAAAGGGACGGCUAACUACGUG